AUGAGAGUUUGAUCCUGGCUCAGAGCGAACGCUGGCGGCGUGCCUAACACAUGCAAGUCGAGCGGGGCGCAGGGGAGCGAACCUUUCGGGGUUCAAUUCUCUGUUGCCUAGCGGCGGACGGGUGAGUAACACGUAGGCAACCUACCCCUGGGACUGGGACAACCCGGGGAAACCCGGGCUAAUACCGGAUAAGACCACGUACUGGGAUGUAUGUGGUAAAAGGGGGAACCCGCCUGGGGAUGGGCCUGCGGCCUAUCAGGUAGUUGGUGAGGUAGAGGCUCACCAAGCCGAAGACGGGUAGCCGGUCUGAGAGGAUGG
rnacentral:rRNA from 1 species